GACGAACGCUGGCGGCGUGCUUAACACAUGCAAGUCGAACGCAGUGGCGAACGGGUGAGUAACGCGUAAUCAACCUGCCCUUCAGCGGGGGACAACAGUUGGAAACGACUGCUAAUACCGCAUACUGAGGUAGGGGCUUCCGUCUGAUUAGCUAGUUGGAGGGGUAACGUGCCACCAAGGCGAUGAUCAGUAGCCGGUCUGAGAGGAUGGACGGCCACAUUGGGACGGAGAAACGGCCCAGACUCCUACGGGAGGCAGCAGUGGGGAAUCGUCCGCAAUGGACGAAAGUCUGACGGAGCAACGCCGCGGGAGGGAGGACGGCCUUCGGGUUGUAAAGCUCUGUUAAUCGGGACGCGGUACCGGAAUAGAAAGCCACGGCUAACUACGUGCCAGCAGCCGCGGUAAUAC
rnacentral:rRNA from 1 species